rnacentral:rRNA from 1 species
AAUAUCGGACAAGGGGGGCAACCCUGAUCCAGCCAUGCCGCGCGUGUGAAGAAGGUCUUCGGAUUGUAAAGUACUUUAAGUUGGGAGGAAGGGCUUUAGGCUAAUACCCUGCAGUCUCGACGUUACCAACAGAAUAAGCACCGGCUAACUUUGUGCCAGCAGCCGCGGUAAGACAGAGGGUGCAAGCGUUAAUCGGUAUUACUGGGCGUAAAGCGCGCGUAGGUGGUUCAGUAAGAUGGGUGUGAAAUCCCCGGGCUUAACCUGGGAACUGCUUUCAUAACUGCUGAGCUAGAAUACGGUAGAGGGUGGUGGGAUUUCCUGUGUAGCGGUGAAAUGCGUAGAUAUAGGAAGGAACACCAGUGGCGAAGGCGACUACCUGGGCUGAUACUGACACUGAGGUGCGAAAGCGUGGGGAGCAAACA